GAUGAACGCUGGCGGCGUGCCUAAUACAUGCAAGUCGAGCGAACAGACGAGGAGCUUGCUCCUCUGACGUUAGCGGCGGACGGGUGAGUAACACGUGGAUAACCUACCUAUAAGACUGGGAUAACUUCGGGAAACCGGAGCUAAUACCGGAUAACAUGUUGAACCGCAUGGUUCAACAGUGAAAGACGGUCUUGCUGUCACUUAUAGAUGGAUCCGCGCCGCAUUAGCUAUUUGGUAAGGUAACGGCUUACCAAGGCAACGAUGCGUAGCCGACCUGAGAGGGUGAUCGGCCACACUGGAACUGAGACACGGUCCAGACUCCUACGGGAGGCAGCAGUAGGGAAUUUUCCGCAAUGGGCGAAAGCCUGACGGAGCAACGCCGCGUGAGUGAAGAAGGUCUUCGGAUCGUAAAACUCUGUUAUUAGGGAAGAACAAAUGUGUAAGUAACUAUGCACGUCUUGACGGUACCUAAUCAGAAAGCCACGGCUAACUACGUG
rnacentral:rRNA from 1 species